GGACUUCAAGGCGAUCCUCUCCGACCCGCGCUUCCACGCGAAGCGCUUCCUCGGCGAGCCGCAGAUGGCGUUGACGAGCGUCGAGGUCCCCGACAUGCCCGGCUUCAUCCCGAGCAUGAACGGUCCGGACCACCUCGCCGUACGCCGCCUCGCAGCGGGCGACUUCACCGUGAAGCGCGUCGAAUCGCUCCAGCCGACGAUCGAUGCCGUCGUCGACAAGUACCUCGACAACGUCGAGCGGCACGGGUCACCGUGCGACCUCUACGAGGAGUACUGCCUGCAGAUCCCAUCCGAGGUGAUCGCGAUGAUCCUCGGCGUGCC
rnacentral:misc_RNA from 1 species